rnacentral:lncRNA from 1 species
CUGGCCCUCUCAGUGGGUCAGUGAUCCAGAUUCAGGGAUUCGCCAGCGGGCGCAGCGGACGCAUCCACACUCACACUCUCGCGCAGGCAACGGGCGCACACAACACCCUAGCGCUGGGGCACAACGAUUCCGUGGGAUCCCCAGCACGUUAUGAGGAUUUUAGAAAUCACCCAUUCAAGGAAACAAAGAGAGAAGCCUUUCCAAUUACUUUCCUGAGCUUUUUCAUUUAAUUUCCCCACCAAACCACCUCGCUUGCAACAGUAACCACUAGGUUCACGCCGGGUCCAAGGUCUGGGCUGGGCUGGCCAUCCCACUUCUUGGCCCUGGACUCCGCUCGCUCAGGCUCUCCUCCAGGCGUCGCCGAGGCCCCUCUCCCCGCCUCCCCUUUCCCCCUGUGGGCCUCAGUUUCUGGUUACCUCGGGUGCGCUUCACUUUUGGGGGGAAGAAGAGAAGAAGGGAGGGGAGGCGCUGAGGGGGGCAGUCGAGUUGCUAUUUGUGGCCAAAGAAUCUGCUUUAAAAGAAGCAGCAGCAGGAAGGAGGAAACAGGAGAGGCGGAGGGAGGAGAGGAGACGCGGCCCCGGACCCCCCAGCCGCGAGCGGCGGAGCAUCGAGGAGCGGGAGGAGGAGGAAGAGGAGGAGAAGGAGGAGGAGGAGGGAGAGGAGCCACACAGCGGCGGCAGCGGCAGCCGGAGAAGCGGGCUCAGGGCGAGCAGGAGGAGCGGGAGGAGGAGAAACCGCCGCGAAGCCGCGAGCUCUGAAGGGCCAGGAGGACGGCCCGGGAACAGGAGGAGGAGGCGG